AGCUGGAAAGUAUCCAAAAGACACAAAGUGAAACUAAAGCUUCCUUGGAUGCAGAGGUUGAGGCCUGGACUCAGGAGAUUAAGACUCUAAAAGAAACACUGACACGAUACAGUCCAGUAUGUGCGUAUGUGAAGAGGAGCGAGUUAACUGACAACUUAUGUGGCAUAAACCUCACCAAGGAUACAGCUUAGCUGAAUAAGACCAAAGAGAAUAAAGUUAAUGAAUAAAAAUAAUAAUAAAAUCAACUUUCAUUAAAAA